rnacentral:rRNA from 1 species
CCGGUAAACGGCGGCCGUAACUAUAACGGUCCUAAGGUAGCGAAAUUCCUUGUCGGGUAAGUUCCGACCUGCACGAAUGGCGUAAUGAUGGCCAGGCUGUCUCCACCCGAGACUCAGUGAAAUUGAACUCGCUGUGAAGAUGCAGUGUACCCGCGGCAAGACGGAAAGACCCCGUGAACCUUUACUAUAGCUUGACACUGAACAUUGAGCCUUGAUGUGUAGGAUAGGUGGGAGGCUUUGAAGUGUGGACGCCAGUCUGCAUGGAGCCGACCUUGAAAUACCACCCUUUAAUGUUUGAUGUUCUAACGUUGGCCCCUGAUCGGGGUUGCGGACAGUGUCUGGUGGGUAGUUUGACUGGGGCGGUCUCCUCCUAAAGAGUAACGGAGGAGCACGAAGGUUGGCUAAUCCUGGUCGGACAUCAGGAGGUUAGUGCAAUGGCAUAAGCCAGCUUGACUGCGAGCGUGACGGCGCGAGCAGGUGCGAAAGCAGGUCAUAGUGAUCCGGUGGUUCUGAAUGGAAGGGCCAUCGCUCAACGGAUAAAAGGUACUCCGGGGAUAACAGGCUGAUACCGCCCAAGAGUUCAUAUCGACGGCGGUGUUUGGCACCUCGAUGUCGGCUCAUCACAUCCUGGGGCUGAAGUAGGUCCCAAGGGUAUGGCUGUUCGCCAUUUAAAGUGGUACGCGAGCUGGGUUUAGAACGUCGUGAGACAGUUCGGUCCCUAUCUGCCGUGGGCGCUGGAGAACUGAGGGGGGCUGCUCCUAGUACGAGAGGACCGGAGUGGACGCAUCACUGGUGUUCGGGUUGUCAUGCCAAUGGCACUGCCCGGUAGCUAAAUGCGGAAGAGAUAAGUGCUGAAAGCAUCUAAGCACGAAACUUGCCCCGAGAUGAGUUCUCCCUGACUCCCUGAGAGUCCUGAAGGAACGUUGAAGACGACGACGUUGAUAGGCCGGGUGUGUAAGCGCAGCGAUGCGUUGAGCUAACCGGUACUAAUGAACCGUGAGGCUUAACCUUACAACGCCGAAG